UCUUGCUCCUGGCCUUGUUAAUUAAUGCAAAUGACCUUGAAGCCUAAUUACUCAAAGUCACAGUGAAAGCCUUGGAGCAGGGCUGAGGCAAUGCCCUGGCAUGGGUUUGUUGAGAGACAGUGCAGCAGUGUUGUGUCGAUGGCUUUCACCUGGUGUUCAGGUUCCAUAAAGUUGAGUCUAAAAUCUCCUGUGCAGUGUUACACAGAAGAGACACCAAGUCUUGCCACUAGGAUUACUUCUGCUCUCCACCGCAGCUCUCCCUAGCACUUGAGCAGUGGGUUGAUGGAUGGAUGUCUCAGGUGUCAAUCUUUGAACAGAGGAGAAAUCCAGUUCCUGAAAGGUGCUUGGAUGUAACCAAGUUCUUAGUUACCUCUUGCCACAAGAUAUCCAGUU